AGAGUUUGAUCAUGGCUCAGAUUGAACGCUGGCGGCGUGCUUAACACAUGCAAGUCGAGCGGUAACAGGCGUAGCAAUACGUGCUGACGAGCGGCGAACGGGUGAGUAAUGCUUUGGAAUCUGCCUAGUAGUGGGGAAUAACCUGGGGAAACUCAGGCUAAUACCGCAUACGACCCAAGGGUGAAAGCGGGGGAUCGCAAGACCUCGCGCUAUUAGAUGAGCCAAAGUCGGAUUAGCUAGUUGGUGGGGUAAAGGCCUACCAAGGCGACGAUCCGUAGCUGGUCUGAGAGGACGACCAGCCACACUGGAACUGAGACACGGUCCAGACUCCUACGGGAGGCAGCAGUGGGGAAUAUUGGACAAUGGGGGCAACCCUGAUCCAGCGACGCCGCGUGUGUGAAGAAGGCCUGCGGGUUGUAAAGCACUUUUAGUGGGGAUGAAAAGUCCAAGGUUAAUACCUUUGGAUCUUGACCUAACCUACAGAAAAAGCACCGGCUAACUCUGUGCCAGCAGCCGCGGUAAUACAGAGGGUGCAAGCGUUAAUCGGAAUUACUGGGCGUAAAGCGUGCGUAGUCGGUUGUUUAAGUCGGAUGUGAAAUCCCCGGGCUCAACCUGGGAAUUGCAUUCGAUACUGGGCAGCUAGAGUUCGGCAGAGGGAAGUGGAAUUUCCGGUGUAGCGGUGAAAUGCGUAGAUAUCGGAAGGNAACAUCAGUGGCGAAAGCGACUUCCUGGNCCAGAACUGACGAUCAGGCACGAAAGCGUGGGGAGCAAACAGGAUUAGAUACCCUGGUAGUCCACGCCAUAAACGAUGA
rnacentral:rRNA from 1 species